rnacentral:tRNA from 1 species
GGGUCCAUAUUUCAACGGUUAGAAUUUCUGCCUCCAGAGCAGAAGAUGAGGGUUCGAUUCCCUCUGGGCCCA